rnacentral:tRNA from 1 species
GGUGGCUCAGCGGUAGAGUGCUUGCCUCGCAUGCAUGAGGCUCUGGGUUCGAUUCCUCAGUACCA